rnacentral:rRNA from 1 species
AGCGAACGCUGGCGGCAGGCUUAACACAUGCAAGUCGAGCGGGCACUUUCGGGUGUCAGCGGCGGACGGGUGAGUAACGCGGGGGAACGUGCCCUCUGGUUCGGAAUAACUCAGUGGAACUUGAUCUAAUACCGGAUACGCCCCUUUGGGGAAAGGCUUGCUGCCGGAGGAUCGGCCCGCGUCUGAUUAGCUAGUUGGUGAGGUAACGGCUCACCAAGGCGACGAUCAGUAGCUGGUCUGAGAGGAUGAUCAGCCACACUGGGACUGAGACACGGCCCAGACUUCUACGGGAGGCAGCGGUGGGGAAUAUUGGACAAUGGGCGCAAGCCUGAUACAGCCAUGCCGCGUGAGUGAUGAAGGCCUUAGGGUUGUAAAGCUCUUUUAUCCGGGACGAUAAUGACGGUACCGGAGGAAUAAGCCCCGGCUAACUUCGUG